GGUUUGCCCAGCUCAUCUAGGCACUGACCCACCAUGCCUUUGGCCUGCCACACCUCAUGGCAGACUCCGCACGGCAUGGGCUAUGCUUGCUACCCAGGCUCCAACCCAUCUGGGCCACCAUUCUGCUACUCCACCACUCCACCUCUCUGCUGCCGCUUCUUGGCAGAGACCAGUAGUCCAGCUAUGCAGAUUGGCAUCUGAGGAGCCAUGUUAAUCACUACUCUUUGCUUCUAGGUCUCUAACUGUAGUUUACUCUUAAUGGACCCUUAAAGGUGAGACACAAUGUAUAACCCAUGAAGAGUUAUGCUGAAGUGCAAAAGAACUACUUGAGCUUUCUAGUUUAUACAACACGUAUAGGAAUUGGUAGUAAGAAUGGGUAGUAGGACAAUGGUAAAAUGAACAUAAAAUUGGAUGAGGCACAAUUUAUUGAAAUGGACGUCACUAAGCAGAGAUUCUGCAUUUACUGUUCUAGCUCAUAGAGUUAGAAAAGAUACUGGUUGGAUGGUGAAAACUUGCACCAAAAUGUGGCCCAAAUUGAGUGAAUCAGAAAUGCCAGACCUAGCUGGGCACAGUGGUGCACACCUGUAAUCCCAGAGACUCAGGAGGCCGAGGCAGGAGGAUUGCAAGUUCAAGGCCAGUUUCAGCAAUUUAGUGAGACCCUUUUCAAAAUAAAAUUUAAAAAAGACUGGAGAAUGCAACUCAGUUGUAGAGCACCCCUGGGUUCAAUCCUCUGGAACAAAAACAACAAAAAAUCUGAAGCUGCCUUGAUUUAUCACUGAGAGUGGCACAGAAGAAAAGUUAUCUCCAAAAAAAGAUUUGAGGAAUUUCUGGAGAGAAAGGAGAUCUUGACUAGGACCAGCAGAGUUCCUGGCAUAUGUGAAGAAGAGUUUCAGCACAUACCAGUCAGAGACAUAGAGGUUUCUUCAGGAAAGCUGAGGCCCAUUCAAGGAAGAAUGUGGGCUUUCUCAAGAGUGAGAAGCUUUGGGGGAUAAAACAAAAAUAUACAUUCGAG
rnacentral:lncRNA from 1 species